UACAGAGGUCCCAAGCGUUGUUCGGAUUCACUGGGCGUAAAGGGUGCGUAGGCGGUCGGGUAAGUCUGAUGUGAAAUCUCACAGCUUAACUGUGAAACUGCAUUGGAUACUAUCCGGCUCGAGGAAUGGAGGGGAGACUGGAAUACUUGGUGUAGCAGUGAAAUGCGUAGAUAUCAAGUGGAACACCAGUGGCGAAGGCGAGUCUCUGGACAUUUCCUGACGCUGAGGCACGAAAGCCAGGGGGAGCAAACGGGG
rnacentral:rRNA from 1 species